CCUACGGGAGGCAGCAGUGGGGAAUAUUGGACAAUGGGGGCAACCCUGAUCCAGCCAUGCCGCGUGUGUGAAGAAGGCCCUCGGGUUGUAAAGCACUUUCAGUGAGGAAGAACGCCUGGUGGUUAAUACCCAUCAGGAAAGACAUCACUCACAGAAGAAGCACCGGCUAACUCCGUGCCAGCAGCCGCGGUAAUACGGAGGGUGCGAGCGUUAAUCGGAAUUACUGGGCGUAAAGCGCGCGUAGGUGGCUUGAUAAGCCGGUUGUGAAAGCCCCGGGCUCAACCUGGGAACGGCAUCCGGAACUGUCAAGCUAGAGUGCAGGAGAGGAAGGUAGAAUUCCAGGUGUAGCGGUGAAAUGCGUAGAGAUCGGGAGGAAUACCAGUGGCGAAGGCGGCCUUCUGGACUGACACUGACACUGAGGUGCGAAAGCGUGGGUAGCAAACAGGAUUAGAUACCCUGGUAGUC
rnacentral:rRNA from 1 species